UAAUAUGAAGUGAUUUAUAAUUUUAUAAUUUUGUACUAUUUUAUUUCUAAAAUAUUUUUAAUAUUUCUAUUAUUGUCUUAAUUUUUAGAAUAUAUAAUGUUAUAUCCUUCACAUGCAACGCACACCAGUUAAAAUUAGUUAUUGUAAAAUUAUUGAAUAAGUUAUUGUAAUGGCCCCUUUUGCCCGGGCCCGGUUAAAACCCAAAAAUAAUAAAAUACAUUCCAAAUUACAAAGGGCCUGUAAUGCCCAAUAAAACUAAACCUAAAGCCCAAUAGCCCAACCCCCAAAAUCACCGAAACCCUAAAACUAAAACAGCUUCCAGAAAGACCCCAGUCAUCGUACGUCUCGGAACCGGCCUCCUCCAUGCGCGCCGUACUCCCAUGUUCUCCUACAAAACGGAUUCAAAGAGUCCAAAUAGUGUAAAACAACAAAAAAAAAAGAAGGGAAAAGGUUGUUCUAUUCGGGCUAUAAAAGGCCUAUGUUUUGUAUUGUAAAAAAAAGGAGACAAGAAUACAAAGAAAAACUAUAAAAGGCCUAUCUUUUGUAGUGUUCAUCGAUCUUUUAUUUUUGUUUGUAUUUAUAUUUCUUCUUUUAUUAUUUUUAUUUAUUUUAUUUUACUUAAAUAAAAAAGAAGAGAAGGAGGCAAAGCUUACCUUUCCUCGAAGCCGCCGUGCCACCACCAUAUCCGUCGCAAUCGGAGUUUUGGUGAAGGGACGGAUGAACGACGGCGCAAAAAAGGGUUAAGAAAAGCCCUAGCAGAGCAAACGUUUCAAAAACGUGAAACAAAAUGAUUUUUUUAAUCCUUUUUUAUUAUUUUUGUGUUUAAUUUAACACAUAAACAAAACGGCGCCGUUUAAAGGGGCCAGAUCCGCG
rnacentral:lncRNA from 1 species